CCUACGGGUGGCACCAGUGGGGAAUUUUGGACAAUGGGCGAAAGCCUGAUCCAGCAAUGCCGCGUGUGUGAAGAAGGCCUUCGGGUUGUAAAGCACUUUUGUCCGGAAAGAAAUGGCUCUGGUUAAUACCUGGGGUCGAUGACGGUACCGGAAGAAUAAGGACCGGCUAACUACGUGCCAGCAGCCGCGGUAAUACGUAGGGUCCAAGCGUUAAUCGGAAUUACUGGGCGUAAAGCGUGCGCAGGCGGUUGUGCAAGACCGAUGUGAAAUCCCCGAGCUUAACUUGGGAAUUGCAUUGGUGACUGCACGGCUAGAGUGUGUCAGAGGGGGGUAGAAUUCCACGUGUAGCAGUGAAAUGCGUAGAGAUGUGGAGGAAUACCGAUGGCGAAGGCAGCCCCCUGGGAUAACACUGACGCUCAUGCACGAAAGCGUGGGGAGCAAACAGGAUUAGAUACCCUUGUAGUC
rnacentral:rRNA from 1 species